ACCCAACAGACAUGGUGGAGCAUGUUUGCAAUCUGUGCUGCUAGGGAGGCAGAGACAGUUGUGUCUAUUGAGCUCAGGAGCUCUGAGCUGCAGUUGGCUAAAUGCUAAGGGUGGUAUCAAUAUGGUGCCUCUGGAGGUCAGGACACCACCACGUUGUUUAAAGAGGGGAGAACCCAGGCCCAGGUUGGAAACAGAGCAGGUCAAAGCUCCUGUGCCAAUGAGAGUGGGAUUACGGGUCUGUGAGUAGCCUUUAUACUUUUGGACUGGGCAAGUCAGGGAGUCUUAGUCUUU
rnacentral:SRP_RNA from 1 species